UAGCCAUACACAAGCUAUUAUUGUUCUCAGAUCCUAAAAUAAACUCCCUAAUCUAUAUAACUUUUAAACUAAAUAAAAUUAUGAAGCCAAAUUUAUAUAAACAAAUAGUACCAAGCAAUGGAGAAGGAAAAAACCAAAGUUCGAUGAUUUUUCCAUUGAUUCUAAUUCAACUUAAAUUUAUCGCACAUUCAACGAACUUCUAAAUGCUUAAAAUGGAAUAAGGAAAAGACAAGGUGCCAAAAAUUUGUCCAAAUUCGUCCUUUACAUCCCUCAAGCCCAACUGAAUUAAAUAUUCCUCAAUAAAUAAAU